rnacentral:misc_RNA from 1 species
GAUGAAGAACGCAGCAAAAUGCGAUAAGUAAUGUGAAUUGCAGAAUUCAGUGAAUCAUCGAAUCUUUGAACGCACAUUGCGCCGGCCAGUAGUCUGGCGGGCAUGCCUGUUCGAGCGUCAUUUCAACCCUCAAGCACAGCUUGGUGUUGGGACUCGCGUUAAUUCGCGUUCCUCAAAUUGAUUGGCGGUCACGUCGAGCUUCCAUAGCGUAGUAGUAAAACCCUCGUUACUGGUAAUCGUCGCGGCCACGCCGUUAAACCCCAACUUCUGAAUGUUGACCUCGGAUCAGGUAGGAAUACCCGCUGAACUUAAGCAUAUCAAUAAGCGGAGGA